rnacentral:rRNA from 1 species
AUGGUGGAAAUUGUGCGUGCCAAAAAAGGUGGAAUGGGAUUUUGAGAUAUUCAUUGUUUUAACCUAGCCCAACUUGCGAAGCGGGCUUGGAGAUUAAUUGAUAAUCCGGAUUCCCUUUGUGCUUGUGUUCUCAAAGCCAAAUAUUAUCCAGAUUGUGAUAUUUUGAAUGCAACUCCUAAAAAGAGAGCCAUAUUCACAUGGCAAAGUAUUGUGUCAGGGGUGCGAACACUAAAAAGAGGUCAUACAUGGAGAAUUGGUGAUGGUAGUCAGAUCAAUGCUUGGGAUGAUGAAUGGAUCCCUAACUCACCUACCAUGAAAGUGAUCACAACUCGUGGAGGCAAUUUACUAUCAAAAGUAAGUGAUUUCAUUGACCCUGUUACAGGUAGUUGGGAUGAAGAGUUGGUUUCUCAAACAUUCUGGCAAGUUGAUGUCACGCAGAUCCUUGUGAUUCCAUUGCCUGAAUUUGAUAUGUCAAACUUUUUAGCAUGGAACUUGUGCAAAACCCGGAGAUUCUCAGUGAGAUCAGCAUAA